CCUGUCCACGCCGCGGCCGAUCCCGGGAUCACUGACAGCUGAGCCAUGCUCGGCUUCUCAGAGUUGUACCUCUGUGCUCCGAAGUUGGGAGAGCUCCGGAUUCCUCCAACUUCAGAAGCUUUGCAAUUUUAUGAAGUCCCAUUUGUCGAUUCCAAGAACUUUCUUCAGUCCAGAGACAGCGAUGGAACAUCACUGAACAAUGAGUAUUUGAUACACACACACUAUCAUUAUGACUA